ACGCUCGACACCUACGGGGGGCAGCAGUGGGGAAUAUUGGGCAAUGGGCGCAAGCCUGACCCAGCAACGCCGCGUGAAGGAAGAAGGCUUUCGGGUUGUAAACUUCUUUUCUCAGGGACGAAGGAAGUGACGGUACCUGAGGAACAAGCCACGGCUAACUACGUGCCAGCAGCCGCGUAUCUGAGGCGGGCGUGGACGAAGGC
rnacentral:rRNA from 1 species